UUGGAGAUAACAAACAAUAAAAACACUACGAUCAAUAAUAUUUUUAUGGUAUAACUCAAUUGAUCAAUACAGUGCAGUGUUGAUACAUAGAGAGAUCAGCUCUUAACCUGCGUGUCAAUUAACUAAAAUUAAUUGCAUACUAAACACUUCCCCUUUUUGUCACAGCGUAAUAUUAUCAUUAAAUAUAGUACUCCCAAUAGCCAAUAAUGGUGCCAUAAAUUACAAUAUAGAGACAUUUCACAUUAGAAAUAAAAAACUGAUAUUUUCACGCGUAUUCUUAAUAUUUUUAUAUAAUUAUUUUUUAAAAUAGUGUUUCCUAAAAAUAUCAUGUAGAAGAGGAAAUGAAAUUCUUGAUCAAAUCAUUCCAUGCCUCGGCCUUUCUUGGAUCCAACAGCUCCGGACCAUGGAAUCCUUCCUCCUCAAAACUAGCCACCACGUGCACUCCACGUACCUCCAACAUUUUCACAAUUCUCUUCUGCCUAUCAACCAAUGGGUCCUCACCGUACCCUCUUACCAAACACCUUGGCAGCCGUUUGAUCUUAUCUACAUCCUCACAAUCAAACGGGUUAGAAUACUCAUGAUCGCGAUCACUACCUUUGGGCAAUGCUAACGACCACAUCAGAUCAGUAACCGCCACUGACACAAUCGGAUCAUUAAUUAAUCUUAACUCCGAUGGGGUUCUCCCAACCCCACUGAAAAAUGGCUGAUUCAUUAUCAGUCCUACGAUCUUAAUCGGUCCAAGAUCAGUAUCAAGUGCACGUACAUCCGCGUAAUAGAUUAUAGUUGCCCCCGCGCUACUUCCCAUCAAGUAAACAUUUGAAAAAUCAGCCAUCUCCUUCAACCACGGAUCACAACCGUUGAUCUCCAUAGCCUGAUCCCGGACCCACGUAAUUGCCUCCAUGGCAUCGUCGUACGCUGCAGGAAGGCGGUGUUCUGGCGCGAGACGGUAUUCAACGGACAGGAUUAAAGCAGGGAAAUGAGCAGCCAUGCGAGCGCAUGAUUUAUGAAAAGGAGCCGUUGUAGAGCUGAAUAGUAUGAAUCCGCCGGCAUGGAAAUCGACGAUGAUGGGGAUUUUUGUGGUCGGAGGAGAGAGUGAAAGGGGGCGGAAGAGGCGAAUGAAUGUUUUGUUGGUGGGAUUGAGAGGAAUAUCUUUGGAGAGAGAAAGGGGCGAGUUGGAAGAGGUGAGUUGACUGGGUUCGGGAUUUGGUGGAACGGACGGGAACAGCUCGUGUCGAGUUAGUGAGCCAUCUGGGUUUUGAACAAUGUUGAGGACUUUGUAAGGGUCGAUAAUGGAGGGGGGGUGGGGUGGGGUGGAUUCUUGGUCCGCCAUUGUCGUUGUUUUAGCCUCCUAGCUUUAACACAAAUGGAUCUCUUUCAUGAGAAAGUGGAAAGAUACUGAAAACUAAUUAUAAGUAUAUUUAUUAUAUCUAAACAUACUUUAUUGAUCAAAUUACUCUUAAAAUGAUCAAAUUAAUAAAUUAAUUUAUCUCCUCUUAAAUUAUUAUAUAUUGGUAUUAAUGACACACUCGUCCAAGAAAAAAUAGAAUAUAAUAAAAUUGAGACCACAUUAUUUUUUGAUAUUUUCACACGUAAGAAUUAUACUUGAGAAAGGACUAUUAAUCCAAGUGUCUUAUUUAUUUUCAAAUUUAAACUUGCUAACUAUUAAUCUCGAAUUAUAAAAUAAUUUAAUAGUUUUGACAUUAUAAUUAUAAUUGUGAGAUUAUAAUUCUAGUAUUAAUAGUAUUGGGAUUAUAAUCCCAUAAAUUAUAAUUUCAGAAUUAUAGUAAUUCUUAGAAACAAUCGUAGCAUAUCAAUUUCCUAAACCAAUGAUCAUUAAGAUAGAUAUACCGGUCCCAACUCCCAACUGCCAAUGAAAUUAAAGGUGCCAUAAAUUACAAUGUAGACUUGUUCACAGCAGAAACAUGAAUGAAAUUCUUGAUGGAAUCAUACAAUGCCUCAGCCUUUCGUGGAUCAAACAGCUCCGCACCAUGGGAUCCUUCCUCCUCAAAACUAGCCACCACGAGCGCUCCACGUGCCUCCAACAUUUUUGCAAAAUCCUUUUGCCUAUCAACCAGUGGGUCCCCACCAUACCCUCUUACUAAACACCUUGGCAGCCGUUUGAUCUUAUCUGCGUUAUCCCGAUCAAACGGGUUAGAAAGGUAGUGAUCGCGAUCACUACCUUUGGGCAAUGCUAAUGACCACAUCAGAUCACUAACCACCAAUGGCACAAUCUUAUCAUUAACUAAUCUUAACUCGGAUGGUGUUCUCUCGACCCCACUAAAAAAAGGUUGAUUCAUCAUCAGCCCCACGAUCUUAAUCGGUGAAAGAUCAGCAUCAACUGCACGUACACCCGCGUAGUACGUUAUGGUAGCCCCCGCGCUACUUCCAAACAAGUAAACUCGAGAAAAAUCAGCCAGCUCCUUCAACCACGGAUCACAACCGUUGAUCUCUUUCGCCUGAUCCCGGACCCACGCGAUUGCCUCCGUGGCAUCAUCGUACGCUGCAGGAAGGCGGUGUUCGGGCGCAAGACGGUAUUCAACGGCCACGAUUAAAGCCGGGAAUUGAGCUGCCAUGCGGGCGCAUGAUUUAUGAAAAGGAGCCGAUGUAGAGCUGAAUAGUAUGAAUCCGCCGCCAUGGAAAUCGAUGAUGAUGGGGAUUUUUGUGGUCGGAGGAGAGAGAGAAAUGGGGCGGAAGAGGCGAAUGAAUGUUUUGUUGGUGGGAUUGAGAGGAAUGUCUUUGGAGAGAGAAAGGGGGGAGUUGGAAUCGGUGAGUUGACUGGGUUCGGGGUUUGGUGGAACGGACAGGAACAGUUCGUGUCGAGUUAGUGAGCCAUCUGGGUUUUGAACAAUGUUGAGGAGCUUGUAAGGGUCGAUAAUGGAGGGGGUCGAGGUGGAUUCUUGGUCGGCCAUUGUUGUUUCUCUAGGCUUGUCUCUGUGUUAACUAAUUGCUCUUGUUCAUAAAUAAAUUUGUGGAGGGGAAGAGUAAAUAAGUGGUGGUCUGAGUAGGUGCGUUCAUUUACUAGUCGCUAUAAUUGGAACAUUUCAAAUCUCAUUUUAUUGAUUUGGAGUGGAUUGACCAUUUCUUUUUCAUUUUUCAUUUUUAAGUGGAUGUGUUGUAAAAGGUUAAAAAAUUUAUAGUUAAAUUAAUAUACAUAAU
rnacentral:lncRNA from 1 species